UCAGCGGUGGGCAUGUUGUUCUUACCACACGUCUUCUCCAUCCCUGGGCAGUGCUCACCUGAGGAAGAUGAGGCAGAGCCCGAGAAGCAGGAUCUUGACAGCUAUCUCUACAAUGGUCACCAGCACCACGUCUGCCAUGGGCGCUGAUUUUCCUGAAGGAAAGUGGUGAAGUCAGCCCCAGGACUGUCCACUGGUGGGAGAAGCCCAGGGAAGCAGUUUCAUCUGGGCAGUGGGCACCACAGCCACCGAGAACCAGGGCCACGUUGCUGAUGACACCUCGUGAGCUCCCUGACCCUCGCGGCGGGGGGACACGGGACAGCCUGUGCUCAGCACAGCCCGCCUGCAUCCCGGGAAGGAGGUCCAGGCCCUGGCGGGGCUGAAGAGGCCCCGUGCCACCCACCCCAGCUGCAGGGAGGCCCGUACCUGAGCUGGCUCCCCGGGCCACGAUGGUUACAGUCAGGUUCUGUGGGGGGUCUGGGGCAAGGAGACACAGCAGGGCGGUCAGCGGUGAGGCUGAGGGCUGCAUCGUCCCUGUCCCCAGGAGCUGCAGAGGUGGGGAGGGCUGGAGGCCGCACCCUCCUGAUCCUGCCCCACCCGCACCCCAGGACUCAGCCCCCAGUCCCGACCCAGCGGCUCUUCAGCCCCCAGGGAUCCCCCCUCCCGCGGCUGCCCCGCCGUCUCCGCCCCGCUCUCACAGGACACGCUGAGGUGCACCGUCGUCCUCCUGGUCACACUGACCCCGGGCAGAGUCACCUGACAGCCGAAAGUAAAACGACCCCUCGUCUCUCUUCUUGGCAUAUCUGAUGUCCAGGGAGCAAUUGUUGUCCUCGGGGUCCCCAGUGAGGAGGAAUCGACCCCUGGUUUCCUCCCACACCUGUCGAUUUGGUUCAUUCGUGGCCACUGGAAAAGCCCAGCGUCCUAACCCGUCCAGGUACUGGUACCAGUAGCCGUAAACCGGGCCCAAUCCAGUCCCAUCUUCAGAUCGGUAUGUAAACUUGCAGGGCACAUGGACACACAGGCCCUUCUGUACCGUCACCGACCUAUUCACGUCCAGGUAGUAACCCUGUAGGCUCGCCCCUUCCUGCGCCCAGAGCAGCAGCAGCAGCGCCUGCAGAGGCAGCAGCAGCAGCAAGUCCGGAUGGAGCUGCAUCCCGCCCUGGGAGUCGGCUCCUGGGAUCUCUGCUCUGAGGAACCCAGAGCCGGGAGCCUCACAGGAGGCCCCACAGGAAGAGCGGCGCCUCCUCGGGGGUGGAGCUGCAGGCGGGAGAGACUCCCCAGCUUAUCCCCACUUAGGGACCAGCCCGUCUUCUCCCUCCCUGCUGACUUCCCUCCCCUUUUCUCUGCAGUGUGAAAAUGGGUUCCUGCUGAGCAGACCUGGAGCCCCCGAGGCUGUCAGCAUUUGUGCAGCCUGGGGUGGGACCUAGGAACACGAUGGACUGAGAGGCUGGGUCGGUCCUGUGAGCAGGAGGCCUCUCCUGCCCUGCUGGGCACACCGAGGUGGACACACUUUCCUCGCACAGUGAGGUCAGCACUGGUACACCCUGCGUGUUGACGUCUAGCGGUUUCCUACACCCACCAUGCAGUGUCUUUCUCCAGUGUGCAUAAUGAGGUGGAACCUUUAGGUAAGGCUUUCUCACAGUCACCACAAUCAUAAAGUUUCUCUCCUGUGUGGCUUUGCUGAUAUAUACUGAGUUGUGACUUGUGAAGGAUUUCCACAAUUAUGUCACCGUUUGGAUUUCCCGUAAUUAUGACACUGUAAGCUUUCUCUCUGGUAGAGCAACUUCAGUAUACACUCAAGUGUGCCUUCUGGACAAGACCCACCCAAAUGCAACACACAUAAUAGCACUUAUUCCUUGAAUGGAUUCUGUGGUGCAAACCAAACAUUGAUUUCUUCCUCUUGUUCCUCCCCUCCUCCUCCUCCUCCUCCUUUUUGAGACAAGAGUCUUGCUAUAUAGUGUAGGCUGGCCUUGAACUCAUGGAGAUCUGCUGGCUUCAGCCUGCCCAGUGCUAGGAAUUGUAGGCAGGUACCACCACACCCAGCUAAACACUGACUACUCUCUCACACACAUUGCAAACGUACUGUCUCUCCUCAGUCUGAUGUACAUGAGGGUAGAGCACUGGGAAAAGCUUUUGUAACAUUCACUGUGUUGGUACGGUUUUCUCUAGUAUGUGUUCUGAUGCCUGAAGAGAGAUGACAUCAGGAAAACAGUUUUUCCACAUUCAUGGCAUUCACUGGGAUUUUGUAUUUUGUGAAAUUUUUUGGAGGGUAAUCAAUUCUGAAUGAAGACCUACAUUCCUCACAUCUAUAGGGUGCAUUACCUGUGUGACCUAUCAGAUGCAUGCACACUUUUGGUGUGGAAUGAAGGUAUUUCCACAUAUGCUGUAUUUGUGGAGGAUUUUCACACUAUGAAUUUCUAUCCUUUUCUCCUUUUUCCUCUCCUCCCUUCACUUCCCCUGCUCAUCCUCUCUCUCCUUUCCUCUUGCACACAAAACCAUGUGUUAUGCAGCUAGAAUUUUUAAAAAGUAAACAAAAAACCUAGCAGAAUUCAGAGACAUGUCUUUUAAAGAGAAUUUCAUAUUACAAAGGUGACAAUUGCUUCUAUUUUAAAGUAUUACAUCAAACCAUAGAAAGCCAUUAUUUUAGCCAGAUGUGGUGGUGCACGCUUGCUUGUCCUCUCAGAACUCAGGAGGCUGAGGCAGGAGGACUGCUGUGAAUUUAAGCCUGAGCUAUCCUGUGAGCUCAAGGGCAGCCUGAAUUACAUAGCAAGACCAUGUCUCAAAAAACAAAACAAAAAGUCAUCAUUUUUUAGGCAAAAAUGACUGAAGAUGACUGGUUUACUCUUCUGAGCUCUAUGUGGCAGUGUCUACACUGUGACCUCUACCUUGCACCCUUCAAAAAUGCAUAUGGGGCAAAUGUUGGGUGAUGGCAAGAUCACUGUCUUUCUGGGGCUUCCUGGUUCCCUUGUGGGGUCUCCUGGUUCAGGCCUUAUCAUUGAAGCUGCAGGACUUCCCUUCCCAGUGCAGCCUGCCCCUCCUCAGCAGCUCUGGCUGGAGCCUCUAUGCUCACUCAGGUUCUAGCUCCUGAGGACCCACCAGUGAGAGAGGAGCCUGCAGGUACAAUUCUACCCCAGAGGUUCCAGCUUGUGGGUCCAGAGGCACAGGUUGGACUAUGUGAGGUAGGCAGGGGGUGCCGCAGGUUUGCUUUCUAGAACUUGAAGGUGGACUUGGACUCAGGAGAGAGCAGAUCCUGGACUCGCUGUUCCUCAGCUGUUCCACAUCCUGUCACUAGCGUGGACCAGUGGGACGUCACCCCACACCUCCCAGUGUUUUAAUGAUGUGCUCAUUUUGCUGCCUCUUGGGCUCCUGGAUUUCGGGUUACCCCUCUUUCCCACGCUCCUACCCCGGCUCUCUUGCCCAUCCCAAGUGCACUUUUCAUGCCCGUCCCACUAAGAAGCGGGUCUGCUUCUGGUCACAUUCAUCUUCCUUGCUAUUUCCAUGACUGGUCCCACGGCCCAAAUAUGCUGUAACAAAUUCCUCCACUGCGCAAUCUUGUUUCCCCCUGGGGUGGGUAACUGCAUGGGUUAGCUAUUCGUUGGGUUGUCAGCUUUCCUCCAGACGUGUGGACAUCCUCCUCAUGGACUGACUGACUUAUUAGCUAACAGCCACAAUGGCAGUGAUUGCGAACACUCACUGUGAGGAUCCUGUAUCCUGUUCUGGGCAUCCUGCCCAGUUCUAACCCUGACAACAGAUCCCUUUUACAGAAGAGAAGCCUGAGGCACAGCAUGCAAUGACUGGCUCAGUAUCAUAGGUCGGCAGGCAGGAAGGCUGGUGGUGAAGCAGGCAGGCAGUUAGGUGGGAGGCUGGCUGUCAACUUCUGACACUUUUCUGGCUUGAUGGACUGCAGCCCUGCUACUUUCUUGGCGCUUGACACUCAGGCUUGUCUUGCUGGCUCUCUUCACCAUGACCUAGGAAUUUCUUUUUCUCUUAUGUGUUUGAUCCCCUCAGUCCUGAAUUCUUUGGUUUUCUCUUCCAGUUAAAGGGUUACUCUCAGUUUAUGGACAUAUAGCCUGUGGGAAUUCCUUGGAGAUGGGUUAAUGCAGGUAAAGCUGCAGGAGACCCAGUCCAGAAAAUAUCGUAUAUUUACAUAGACACAGAUUCUGUAAGCUAUCAAAGCCACUGGUGUUCAUGGCUCAGUGUGCUGUCAGGUGAGGCCAGGCUGGAGGAGGAGUGUCCGUGAGUGUGAGCCUUCGCAGGGCUCAUCUUUCAAGGGCUUUCCUCCUGGCUGCCAUGAAGUGAGCAGCUUCGCUCCGUCUCACCCUUCUGCCGUGAUGUCCCUGCAUUGCAGCUGCCUCUGAAAUGAGAAGGUGAAGUCUUCUCAACUUAGCGUAACAGUGCGCAGGCUUCAGUAACUCCGGACAGAGCUCGGGGUCCUAAGUCAUCCGAGCAAUGCUUGUUUACUUCCUCCACCAGCGGUGUGCCAACCACCCCGACAAUACCAAGUGUGGACGAGAGGAUUGAGCAAGCAGAGAAAAGUUCUUGUGCUUCUGGGAGGGUGUAAAAUAGUACUUACUAUGGAAAAUUAUUUGCAAUUUUCUGCCAAAUGUGAAAAUUCACUUCACAACCCAGCAGUCCCACCCCUAGACACAAUCCCAGCCUCUAUUCACUAGUGGAUCUGCAUGGGUUUUUAUUGUACUGAUGGCGGCCAAUCUGAUAAUUGAAAACAUAUUUCAUUAGGAAUUUAAUUUGUAUUUCUAUUAUGGCUGAUGAAGGACAUGGAUAAUCUUGUGUCUGAGACAACCUUAUAGAGUAAUCUGGUCUUUAUUCUUUUAAUCUUGCUAUUAUGUUUUUGGUACUUGUGAGCAUCUUUGUUUCUCAUUUUUCGUUUUUAUCCAAAUAUACAUUUUUCACUUACGUU